rnacentral:lncRNA from 1 species
GGCCCAUCAAAUUGCUUCUUCAGUAACCAGCUCAACAAAACCAUGCCAGCAAAUUAGCAUCAGAUACCCUUCCAUUCACAAUAGCAAAAGGACUCCACUAUUAGAUUCCAAAGCAUAUUCUAUUGUGCUCACAUUGAAUGUCCCAACAGUAAAAGAAGUAUCACAUGACUCUACUGUACUCAUAAAAUGCCCUCUAUGCAAAAAACAAAAUAAAAGUGGCUACGCAUUUCAAUAAAAGAUGUAGGCGGCCAUGCAUUCCAAUAAAAGGUGCUUUAACAAAACCCAAAAGGAUCCUUACCAGUUGAAGCUAUCUACCAUGCCUGAAGAUGCCGCUUUGAUCCACCACAAAAGUCAACCACAAAAGAUAUCGAAAGAUGCCAUCCAAGCCAUCCUUUCCAUCACAAAUUGUCGGCCAUGCCUGUCCAAAAGAAGAUUCAAAGCUCUCUAUAAAUGGACCAGAAGAGGAAGAAGAGAGGUAGAACUACCUUUAAUAUUUCUUCUGUUGCUCUUUGGA